UACGGAGGGUGCAAGCGUUAUCCGGAUUUACUGGGUUUAAAGGGUGUGUAGGCGGAUUUUUAAGUCAGAGGUGAAAUCUCCAGGCUCAACCUGGAAACUGCCCCCUGAUACUAUUAGUCUUGAAUAUUGAUGAGGUGGGCGGAACGGGUCAUGUAGCGGUGAAAUGCUUAGAGAUGACCCGGAACACCAAUUGCGAAGGGCCAGCCUCACUGGGCAAUUAUUGACGCUGAGG
rnacentral:rRNA from 1 species